rnacentral:rRNA from 1 species
AGUGAACGCUGGCGGUAGGCCUAACACAUGCAAGUCGAACGGCAGCACAGUAAGAGCUUGCUCUUACGGGUGGCGAGUGGCGGACGGGUGAGGAAUACAUCGGAAUCUACUUUUUCGUGGGGGAUAGCGUAGGGAAACUUACGCUAAUACCGCAUACGACCUACGGGUGAAGGCAGGGGAUCUUCGGACCUUGCGCGAUUGAAUGAGCCGAUGUCGGAUUAGCUAGUUGGCGGGGUAAAGGCCCACCAAGGCGACGAUCCGUAGCUGGUCUGAGAGGAUGAUCAGCCACACUGGAACUGAGACACGGUCCAGACUCCUACGGGAGGCAGCAGUGGGGAAUAUUGGACAAUGGGCGCAAGCCUGAUCCAGCCAUACCGCGUGGGUGAAGAAGGCCUUCGGGUUGUAAAGCCCUUUUGUUGGGAAAGAAAAGCAGCAGGUUAAUACCCCGCUGUUCUGACGGUACCCAAAGAAUAAGCACCGGCUAACUUCGUG